rnacentral:rRNA from 1 species
UGGGGAAUUUUGGACAAUGGGCGAAAGCCUGAUCCAGCAAUGCCGCGUGUGUGAAGAAGGCCUUCGGGUUGUAAAGCACUUUUGUCCGGAAAGAAAUCCUUGGCUCUAAUACAGUCGGGGGAUGACGGUACCGGAAGAAUAAGCACCGGCUAACUACGUGCCAGCAGCCGCGGUAAUACGUAGGGUGCAAGCGUUAAUCGGAAUUACUGGGCGUAAAGCGUGCGCAGGCGGUUUGCUAAGACCGAUGUGAAAUCCCCGGGCUCAACCUGGGAACUGCAUUGGUGACUGGCAGGCUAGAGUAUGGCAGAGGGGGGUAGAAUUCCACGUGUAGCAGUGAAAUGCGUAGAGAUGUGGAGGAAUACCGAUGGCGAAGGCAGCCCCUGGGCCAAUACUGACGCUCAUGCACGAAAGCGUGGGGAGCAAACAGGAUUAGAUACCCUGGUAGUCCACGCCCUAAAACGAUGUCAACUAGUUGUUGGGGAUUCAUUUCCUUAGUAACGUAGCUAACGCGUGAAGUUGACCGCCUGGGGAGUACGGUCGCAAGAUUAAAACUCAAAUGAAUUG